rnacentral:misc_RNA from 1 species
CCGUUCCCACAGCAGUUGCCACAUGAGCAGCCCUUGGUGUGGGUGGUUCUCCAAAAGGAGUAAUCCUAGACCAUUUAUUUGUUAGCACAUCAUAACAGUGAACAUCAGCAGUGGCACCAGCUAGUCUAAUGCNNNNNNNAUGCCGGCAUUUCCAGCUGAGGAGGGAGCCCCUGAGGCUGCAGAAUUGCCCUCAAGAGCAG